UGCGUAGGCGGAUUAAUAAGUCAGCGGUGAAAUCUUUCGGCUCAACCGAGAAACUGCCAUUGAUACUGUUAAUCUUGAGUUCGGUUGAGGUAGGCGGAAUGUGUAAUGUAGCGGUGAAAUGCUUAGAUAUUACACAGAACACCAAUUGCGUAGGCAGCUUACUAGACCGACACUGACGCUGAGGCACGAAAGCGUGGGGAGCGAACAGGAUUAGAUACCCUGGUAGUCC
rnacentral:rRNA from 1 species